rnacentral:rRNA from 1 species
GACGAACGCUGGCGGCGUGCUUAACACAUGCAAGUCGAACGGAAAGGCCCUGCUUUUGUGGGGUGCUCGAGUGGUGAACGGGUGAGUAACACGUGAGUAACCUGCCCUUGACUUUGGGAUAACUUCAGGAAACUGGGGCUAAUACCGGAUAGGAGCUCCUGCUGCAUGGUGGGGGUUGGAAAGUUUCGGCGGUUGGGGAUGGACUCGCGGCUUAUCAGCUUGUUGGUGGGGUAGUGGCUUACCAAGGCUUUGACGGGUAGCCGGCCUGAGAGGGUGACCGGCCACAUUGGGACUGAGAUACGGCCCAGACUCCUACGGGAGGCAGCAGUGGGGAAUAUUGCACAAUGGGCGGAAGCCUGAUGCAGCAACGCCGCGUGCGGGAUGACGGCCUUCGGGUUGUAAACCGCUUUCGCUUGUGACGAAGCGUGAGUGACGGUAAUGGGUAAAGAAGCACCGGCUAACUACGUG